UACAGAGGGGGCAAGCGUUAUUCGGAAUUAUUGGGCGUAAAGGGCGCGUAGGCGGCUUGGCAAGUGGAUGGUGAAAUCCCUCGGCUUAACCGAGGAACUGCCGUCCAAACUGCUUUGCUUGAGACCGGGAGAGGUGAGUGGAAUUCCCAGUGUAGCGGUGAAAUGCGUAGAUAUUGGGAGGAACACCAGUGGCGAAGGCGGCUCACUGGACCGGUACUGACGCUGAGUGCGCGAAAGCGUGGGGAGCGAACAGG
rnacentral:rRNA from 1 species